GGUUGUAUUGAUCUUGAUCAGAAAUGCAGCUUCAGAGAAAUCACUGUGAAAAUGCAUUAUCUGGCCAAGAAAAUGAAGCCU
rnacentral:pre_miRNA from 1 species